GGUAGCUAACUUAACAGUGGUCAGGUUUUUACUUCCUGUAACCUUGGCUGACUAAACAUUACGGCAUGGGAAAUAUUGGCCAACACGCUCGACUCAGGUGAGGGAUGGUUCGGUUGUCAGGUGAGCGCCACACUGGGCCAAGCCUCGGUCUCACUGUGUGGCGCUGUGCGUUGCAGCUGGCCAAAAGACAGACUGUGAGCUCUGGCUGUCAACAUCUGCUCCAGAGACUGUACCAUCUGCCCCGGGUCCCGCGGGGAGCCUCUCUCCCGUCUCAGACCAGCUGCAGAGCCCCAGACGUGGACCUGAGUAGUCCUGCAGAGCACUGAACACGGCCAAGACACAGUCAGAGGAGCCGUCGUGUGCCGCUGGAACAUUUGUCUCAAACACUUAGCUGCGUUUUAUGCGUCUGUAGGGUGCCAUCAUAGCGAGGUUUAGAUAAACACGAAUCCGGCUCCUGUUGAGCAAGCUUUCACUAGAGGAGAGAGUCAAGGUACACCUUAAAAGGCAUGCAAGGGCGGAUUAUGAGACAGUAGGCCCCCUGGCAAAAUGCAAAGAGCCCCACCACCUCAAAACAGAGACUUUGUAUUUGGUUAGCCUUUUUUGUUGUUGUUUAGCGUGUCUUUAUAGUCAUGAUGCUCUCUUUUGUGUGUGCUUGUGGUUGUUGUGUGUCCCUUUGUGCUCCUUUUACAUUUCUUUGUGGUUAUUUUGAUUCCUAUUCCUGGUCGGUACUCAUCUCUUUGAGUAAUAUUUUGUAGGUGGAGGCCAAGGGCGCCACUGAUAUGUUCGGGCCCCUAGGCCUUUGCCCUGCAGGCUGGUUCAGUAAUCCAUCCAUGAUCAUGGUUAGCCAAAACAACCAAAUUGAUGAGGUAGAUUUUCAUGUAGUUUAAAUAACUUUGUAUGAAAAUGUAUGAUCAAGGAGAAAAACAAGGAACUAAGGUGGGAAUAGGAAGUCGAAGACAUUUGUGUGAACAAAUUAUACUUAAGAGCAAUAGAAAAGAAUGGAUUUCCUUCUUUACGACUCCUUUUAAAGUUUUAAUUACUGUACUUUCACAGUGGGAAUGUCUAGACACAGACAGUAAUCAAUAUUUCACAACAUGGUUUAUUCAGAUGUGAGACUUUUAGUUGUUUCGAGUGCUGGUCUCAACUCAAUUGUUUUUCUUUAAUGUAAGAUCUCAUAAAAGUCUGACUCUACACAG